GCCUGCCUGGCUGAGUUGGUGGAGCAUGUGACUCUUGAUCUUGGGGUCGUGAGUUCAAAUCCCGUGUUAGGUA
rnacentral:tRNA from 1 species